CAGAGGGUGCGAGCGUUGUCCGGAAUCACUGGGCGUAAAGGGCGCGUAGGCGGUCUGCUAAGCGUGCGGUGAAAGCCCGGGGCUCAACCCCGGGUCGGCCGUGCGAACUGGUGGACUGGAGCUUGUCAGAGGCAGGCGGAAUUCCGGGUGUAGCGGUGGAAUGCGUAGAGAUCCGGAAGAACACCGGUGGCGAAGGCGGCCUGCUGGGACAGUGCUGACGCUGAAGCGCGACAGCGUGGGGAGCAAACAGGAUUAGAUACCCUGGUAGUCCACGCCGUAAACGAUGGGCACUAGGUGCUUGGGGGAGCGACCCCCUGAGUGCCGGCGCUAACGCAUUAAGUGCCCCGCCUGGGGAGUACGGCCGCAAGGCUG
rnacentral:rRNA from 1 species